GCCAGUGUGGUUUAGUGAUUUGAGUGUUGGACUUAACUCUGGAGACCAGGGUUCAAAUCCCUCCUUGGCCA